rnacentral:rRNA from 1 species
UACAGAGGGGGCAAGCGUUGUUCGGAAUUACUGGGCGUAAAGGGCGCGUAGGCGGCCUCUUAAGUCGAACGUGAAAUCCCCGGGCUCAACCCGGGAACUGCGUCCGAUACUGGGGGGCUUGAAUCCGGGAGAGGGAUGUGGAAUUCCAGGUGUAGCGGUGAAAUGCGUAGAUAUCUGGAGGAACGCCGGUGGCGAAAGCGACUGUCUGGGGUGCUUGUGACGCUGAGGCGCGAAAGCCAGGGGAUCAAACGGG